AAGUUUGGCAUAAUGAAGUAAGUGUAAAUAGCGAGUGAUUGUGGUUAGUAUGCGAUGGAUAUUAAGAUGAUAGAAAGAGUUUAUGAGCAGUUAGUUGGUGUAUAUGUUAUAGUUUGGGAAGGUAAGGGUUGAUAAAGUUGGCAUUAUAUUCGGUAAGUGUCCGUUGGUUGUUAAUGUGUGCGAGGGGCUAGGAGGAUGAUUGGUGUUAAGCGAAAGAGUGAGUAGAAAGAUUGAGUUGGUUGGUUUAGUCGAGUUAUAAAUACAUAAAAAAAAUAAAAAAAGAUUGUUUUCCUCUCGUUUCUCUUCGUUUACUAACCGUUUAACGUGUUUAUGGAGCUUGUGAGUUAUAUUUUGCAGGGUUGAUCGCUUUUGUCCAUACUCAAUCUCUAUUUGGACGAAAGAGAUUCGAAUCAUAUAAAGAUAAGCAUCCCGUUUUGAGGCAACCGCGAAUGAAAUGCUAUACGGUUGCUAUUGAACAAGGCUUAAAGGAUUCAACCGCGUCAAAUCAGGGGAGUCUGUUCCAUUUAUCUAUGUAGUUUUAUUUAUAUAGUUGAGUCUAUAGUUUCUCGCUCCAUUGAGGACAAUGAAGGAAAUAAGUGUGGGGAGGGGAAACUAGCGUUUAGUUGUAUCUUAGUGUCGUGUCGUAAGAAAAUAAAAAAAAAUAAUAAAAAAAGAAAGAAAUGCAAAAAAAAAAAAUUAAAAAUUGAAAAUGUUUCGAGAAAGUUUUUGCAAUAAAUGGAAAAUGAUAGGUAUAAUUAGAUCAAUGGCAUUUGAUUAUUAUAUAUAUAUAUGAGAUAUUGAACGGUCAGUCACACUUCUAACUUAGGAUAUGUGUGUAGGCCCAGCCGGUUGAAAAGUUCCUUAGAUUUGAUAUAAAAUAACUUAAAAUAGGAGUCUUGUGGGUUCCCG
rnacentral:lncRNA from 1 species